rnacentral:rRNA from 1 species
CAGCAGCCGCGGGAAUACGGAGGGAGCUAGCGUUGUUCGGAAUUACUGGGCGUAAAGCGCGCGUAGGCGGUUACUCAAGUCAGAGGUGAAAGCCCGGGGCUCAACCCCGGAACUGCCUUUGAAACUAGGUGACUAGAAUCUUGGAGAGGUCAGUGGAAUUCCGAGUGUAGAGGUGAAAUUCGUAGAUAUUCGGAAGAACACCAGUGGCGAAGGCGACUGACUAGACAAGUAUUGACGCUGAGGUGCGAAAGCGUGGGGAGCAAACAGGAUUAGAUACCCCCGUAGUCCCUGUCUCUUAUAC